UCUCAGUUCGGAUUGGAGUCUGCAACCCGACCCCACUGAAGCUGGAUUCGCUAGUAAUCGCGCAUCAGCCACGGCGCGGUGAAUACGUUCCCGGGCCUUGUACACACCGCCCGUCAAGCCAUGGAAGCCGGGGGGUGCCUGAAGUGCGCUGCCGCAAGGAGCGCCCUAGGGUAAAACCGGUGACUGGGGCUAAGUCGUAACAAGGUACC
rnacentral:rRNA from 1 species